rnacentral:rRNA from 1 species
AUACGGAGGGUGCAAGCGUUGUUCGGAAUUACUGGGCGUAAAGCGCGCGUAGGCGGUCUGUUAUGUCAGAUGUGAAAGUCCUCGGCUCAACCGGGGAAGUGCAUUUGAAACUGGCAGACUUGAGUAUUGGAGGGGGUAGUGGAAUUCCCGGUGUAGAGGUGAAAUUCGUAGAUAUCGGGAGGAAUACCGGUGGCGAAGGCGACUACCUGGCCAAAUACUGACGCUGAGGUGCGAAAGCGUGGGGAGCAAACAGGAUUAGAUACCCUAGUAGUCC